AGAGUUUGAUCAUGGCUCAGGAUGAACGCUGGCGGCGUGCUUAACACAUGCAAGUCGAGCGAAGCACUUAUUUCUGAUUACUUCGGUUUGAAGAGAUCUGUGACUGAGCGGCGGACGGGUGAGUAACGCGUGGGAAACCUGCCCUGAUCCGGGGGAUAACAGUUGGAAACGACUGCUAAUACCGCAUAAGCGCACAGAAUCGCAUGAUUCAGUGUGAAAAACUCCGGUGGAUCAGGAUGGUCCCGCGUCCGAUUAGCCAGUUGGCGGGGUAACGGCCCACCAAAGCGACGAUCGGUAGCCGACCUGAGAGGGUGACCGGCCACAUUGGGACUGAGACACGGCCCAAACUCCUACGGGAGGCAGCAGUGGGGAAUAUUGCACAAUGGGCGAAAGCCUGAUGCAGCGACGCCGCGUGAGUGAAGAAGUAUUUCGGUAUGUAAAGCUCUAUCAGCAGGGAAGAUAAUGACGGUACCUGACUAAGAAGCCCCGGCUAACUACGUGCCAGCAGCCGCGGUAAUACGUAGGGGGCAAGCGUUAUCCGGAUUUACUGGGUGUAAAGGGAGCGCAGACGGAAUGGCAAGUCAGAUGUGAAAGGCAUGGGCUUAACUCGUGGACUGCAUUUGAAACUGUCAAUCUUGAGUAUCGGAGGGGCAAGCGGAAUUCCUGGUGUAGCGGUGAAAUGCGUAGAUAUCAGGAGGAACACCGGUGGCGAAGGCGGCUUGCUGGACGAUAACUGACGUUGAGGCUCGAAAGCGUGGGGAGCAAACAGGAUUAGAUACCCUGGUAGUCCACGCAGUAAACGAUGAAUACUAGGUGCUGGGGUCCACAGGGCUUCGGUGCCGGCGCUAACGCAUUAAGUAUUCCACCUGGGGAGUACGUUCGCAAGAAUGAAACUCAAAGGAAUUGACGGGGACCCGCACAAGCGGUGGAGCAUGUGGUUUAAUUCGAAGCAACGCGAAGAACCUUACCAAGUCUUGACAUCUCUCUGAAAGCUUGUGGAAACAUGAGCCCCUCUUCGGAGCAGGGAAGACAGGUGGUGCAUGGUUGUCGUCAGCUCGUGUCGUGAGAUGUUGGGUUAAGUCCCGCAACGAGCGCAACCCUUAUGCUUAGUAGCCAGCGGUCCGGCCGGGCACUCUAAGCAGACUGCCAGGAAUAACCUGGAGGAAGGUGGGGAUGACGUCAAAUCAUCAUGCCCCUUAUGAUUUGGGCUACACACGUGCUACAAUGGCGUUUAACAAAGGGAAGCGAGCCCGCGAGGGGGAGCAAAUCCCAAAAACAACGUCCCAGUUCGGACUGUAGUCUGCAACCCGACUACACGAAGCUGGAAUCGCUAGUAAUCGCGAAUCAGAAUGUCGCGGUGAAUACGUUCCCGGGUCU
rnacentral:rRNA from 1 species